CAACAGGCCUGAAGGAUGUGAUGCAAAACGUCGAUGCAGGUCUGGGAUGUCCGCCUCAUUAUGGAUCAAAAUUCAUGACGUUCUAAAGGUGUCGAAUGAGUACCUAUAUACUCCCUCCAUCCCAGAAAACAAGGCGCCUCAUUACACUAUUGGAAGCUGGACGACAUGGAUGACUCUGGCAAGAUGCGGUGGGAGCACGACGACAUGGAUGACUCCGACCACGAGUUCGAUAGGAAGCCUAGCAAUAGUACGCAGUAGCAAGGUUGACCAUAGGGGCAGUGGAGAGUAACCCAACACCCCCUCCUCCGACCGUCAUAACGCUUCUUUCCUCUGGCUUCAUUUCUUACCUAUGUAUGGAUGGUCUUCACCGCUGGUUACAUCUAGCAAGUCCUCCCAGGGUGACAUGAAGGAGAUUGUCAUGCUGCCAAAGCACAUCAAGGACAAUGCAAACAAGGACAGAGGAAGAUCGAACAUGCCAUUUCCAGGUGGUGACAUUUCUAUUCUCGCGCGCCCACCCAACAUUUUUGCUUUUACUAAAUGACUAUGUGCGUGAAUGCUUCGUGGAUGUUGAUAGGGAUUAUCUGUGCUUGACAAAACGGUAUCCCAGACUUGCAAUUACUCCAGAAUUUUCUAAGGUUGGGCAUUCUGUACAUUGAACUUUUGUUGCUGAUCGAUAUUAAAUGUGGCUUUUGGCAUUCUCUAUCACUCUAGCUAGGUCCUUGGAUGAGCCACACUAUUGACAUGGGUUUAGGUGAGUGACUCAUCGCGGCGCCUUUAUAUGGCUCGAUCAAUUCCAAAUUUGCUAUAGUAUGGUUGUCGCUAGAAUUUCCUCAUUUGGCAUGCAAUAAUUACAAUUGAUUUGCCUGGUACUCUGAUCAAAAUGGGAAAGUUGAGUGCUUACAUAUGUCGAUCCACAAUAUUUCUUUAUUGUCAAGGGCAGAGUUAAAGUGAAUUGUGUGGAUUCACACCAACUGCACCAUUGGAUCUCUUCUGGGUCGUUUCAUUUCAAAAAAUCCUGGCCAUAUCCCCCUCUAUCUCUGGUAAACAUAGAUUGAGGACUAGAUAGAUCA